CCCUUAGAUGUUCUGGGCCGCACGCGCGCUACACUGAUGCGUUCAACAAGUUUCCUUGGCCGAGAGGCCUGGGCAAUCUUCUUAAUAUGUAUCGUGAUAGGGAUAGAUUAUUGCAAUUAUUAAUCUUGAACGAGAAAUUCCUAGUAAACGCAGAUCAUCAAUCUGCAUUGAUUACGUCCCUGCCCUUUGUACACACCGCCCGUCGCACCUACCGAUUGGAUGUUCCGGUGAAGCCUCGGGAUGAGGACUGGUGCCUUUAUUGGCAUGAGUUGUUCAGAACUUGUCUAAACCUUAUCAUCUAGAGGAAGGUGAAGUCGUAACA
rnacentral:rRNA from 1 species